UUGUUUCUCAAAAAGUGGGACAACAGAAAUACCUACUUAUGACUACUGUUUCAGGCACUGUCUAAUUGCAUUUAUCAGAUCUUAUUAUAUUCAUUCCAUGAGGAAUCGAAGACCAAUUCAGUCAAGCAGCUGCCCAAGGUUACACGUCUAAUAAAGGGCACAUUCCCAGAUCAAGCCCAUGUAGGCUGACUCUAGAUUCUGAUUUUGAACUGCUCUAUUUCUGAAUUGGAGUUUAACUCCUCUGUUACCCCUACAUUAAUGAGAUGAUAAAUAGCCAAAGACGUCAAUGGCACCCAUGGACAUAGUAUGUUGGAGCAAAUUAGUGUUUAAACACCUGUUCAGAAGAAUUAACAGAUUGCAGUAUAGCAUGAAUACUAUCCCUCUGGUCAUUACUUAUUCUGGCACAUAGGCAUGGAAGCAUUUUGUUUGCUCAAGGCUAAUUAAUCUAUAUUGAUUCUUCACAGAGAAGUGAAUAUUAAAAAAUA
ensembl:lincRNA